CAUCCAUUGUUCUCACCAUGUGCCUCUGAUACAUGAAAUGGUGGCCACCCAGUAACUCCACAGUUUGUCUGGUAGUCUAUCCAGCCGGACCAACAGAUGAAACACAUGGGGAACAGUGCAACAAACGAAGGGAAUCAUAAAAAAUAUGGAUAAUAGUCAUAUUUGUGCACAAUCUCCAGUUUUGUCACAGGGCACAAAUAGUGUUUUCAAAUGCCAUAUAUCCCA